rnacentral:lncRNA from 1 species
AUUGAGGCCUCAUUGCCUAACCUAACAGCAUGUACACCAUGAGCAACUGCAAAAUACAUGCCACCAGGUUGUGGGCCAGCAGAUAUGUACUCCACUAAACCAUUUGUUUCCCAGCCAGGUAAUGCAUUUUUCCCUUUCAGUACUGUCUUGUUUAUGUCACGUGGUUUUGGUUUCUGCUCAAAGUUGCCAUUCUUCAGGAAUCCUAAAGAAGAAGCAGAGAAAGUUAGAUCAGAAAUGAGAUGAACAGUCUUUAUAGUAAAAAAUAGCAAUAUUUUGCAU